CCUACGGGGGGCAGCAGUAGGGAAUCUUCCACAAUGGGCGCAAGCCUGAUGGAGCAACACCGCGUGAGUGAAGAAGGGUUUCGGCUCGUAAAGCUCUGUUGUUGGAGAAGAACGGGCGUGAGAGUAACUGUUCACGCAGUGACGGUAUCCAACCAGAAGGUCACGGCUAACUACGUGCCAGCAGCCGCGGUAAUACGUAGGGGGCAAGCGUUAUCCGGAUUUAUUGGGUUUAAAGGGAGCGUAGGCCGGUCUUUAA
rnacentral:rRNA from 1 species